CUGGGGCACAAUGGUUAAGUGCUCAGCUGCUAACUGAAAGGUUGGUGGUUCAAACCCACCCAG
rfam:Loxodonta africana unplaced genomic scaffold scaffold_38, whole genome shotgun sequence.